UACGUAGGGGGGCAAGCGUUGUCCGGAUUUAUUGGGCGUAAAGAGCGUGUAGGCGGCCAUUCAGGUCAGCUGUGAAAACUCGAGGCUCAACCUCGAGACGUCGGUUGAAACCGUUUGGCUAGAGUCCGGAAGAGGAGAGUGGAAUUCCCGGUGUAGCGGUGAAAUGCGCAGAUAUCGGGAAGAACACCGGUGGCGAAGGCGGCUCUCUGGACCGUAACUGACGCUGAGGCGCGAAAGCGUGGGGGAGCAAACAGG
rnacentral:rRNA from 1 species